UACGUAGGGGGCAAGCGUUGUCCGGAUUUAUUGGGCGUAAAGAGCGUGUAGGCGGCCAGACAGGUCCGUUGUGAAAACUCGAGGCUCAACCUCGAGAUGUCGAUGGAAACCGUCUGGCUAGAGUCCGGAAGAGGAGUGUGGAAUUCCUGGUGUAGCGGUGAAAUGCGCAGAUAUCAGGAAGAACACCGGUGGCGAAGGCGGGUCUCUGGGCCGAUACUGACGCUGAGGAGCGAAAGCGUGGGGAGCGAACAGG
rnacentral:rRNA from 1 species